CACAUCUUCAGGUAUCGUAUCCGGGAAAUGUGCGAUAAGAGCGGCAUGAAGAUGAAAAUAAAAAAAUCACAUUGGUGGAAAGCCUUGCCGAAGUGUCUCUAUUACAGCAUUCCGGAAACAAAGGUAUCAUAAUUUCAAGAUCAAAGCUCCACGUGGAACACCGCUUGUUAUUCAAAGUGAAGACGACAACACGUAUGACUCGCAUGCACUGGCUUGUCUUCUUCCACUAGAAAUGGAACGCAUUCCAGAGGCUCUACGAGAAGUCCAGAUUUUCAGCAGAUCGCAGAGAAAGACAUACACUUUAGGAGAUGUCAAAGGGCAGCAGAUCGGCACGGUUCAGCACUUUCUAAACAUACAGCUGCAUGCUUUGCUUCGAUGUGGCAAAAUAACCAGGAAUUGAAGGGGAAAUCAACGGACAGUAACAUCGAGGCCAAGCUCUACCCAGAAGUUCUCCAGAUACAAACAGGCUGGCGGAGGAGCUUUUAUUCCUGUGACGCUCUUGGUGGAAGGACCACAGCCUUACAAAGAAUUUGUGCUAGAAAGAAUCCGCUUUACUCUUCCAGAA